rnacentral:ncRNA from 1 species
GAAGUCCGGCCCAAAUAAGGGGCAGCGCCCGCUUGGUAGCGAGUGUUGCGUGGUCACUGGCGACAGUGGCUGCGAAGCGUACACAGCAAUUGCGUGGGGUGUGGGAUUGAGCCUCGUAAGAUCAGACGUCGCAGGGGCCGAGGGUUUUCAUUCGCUCGAAGGCAACAUGUGCGGCACCGUUAUGCGAGGUGCUGACGCCCUGCCGGCCUCGGCGACAG